rnacentral:tRNA from 1 species
GAGGAUAUAGCUCAAGUGAUAAAGCGUGUGCUUAACAUGCACAAAGUCCUGAGUUCAAUCCCCAGUACCACCU